rnacentral:lncRNA from 1 species
UGUUGAAAGAAUUAUGAUAUGUUAACGAAAUGUCGCUUGUGACUACGGAAUGGAAAAAGUACAAGAAUUUAUUUAUUUUUAAAUUGAUUCCGUGAAUGAUUCAAUGUUCACAUGAUCAUGGCUUAUCAAAGUGCAGCUGCAAGGACAUGCUCUUGGCCCACUGGUUAUAAACAGAAUGUCAAACCGUCCCCAAAUCUUCCCUUGGCGUUUGUUUUUCGGCAAUUUCUCCACACCAAAUUUUUGUCUCGUGAUGGCACCAAUUAAUAGAGAUGUCAGAUGUUCAGCCCGUGUCCAACUGGCCCAACCUGUUGCGGUUUAUUUUCUCUCCGGACCGCGCGGGUCGGCCCAUCGCAUGCGGUUUGAAAAUCUGUGUCCAGACCCGCCCUGCAUAUUUUAACGGGUUAGCGGGUCAGCCCGCAGGUUGUAACCAAAACAUGUUUCAAUUGUUUUGUAACCCAAAAUCUGUUUAUGUUUCUAUCGUUUUUGAAGAACUUUAUGGGAACCAACCCUGAUUUGACUAGAUCUGCAAAUAAUAAUCGACCCUAAGAGUGUUAGACAAAGUCUUAGACUAGGACAGUGGCGGAGCGAGAAAAAAAAUUUACAGGGGUCAAUUUUAGUUUAUAAUGUAUUCUAAACAAAUUUUACGGGGGUCAUUUAGCUAAAUUAUUAAUAUUAUAUCUAAUUUUUACAUAAAAAUUAUAAAUAUUUAUAAAAAAAAUUUGAAUUUCACCUGAGUCAAUUGCACCCCCUCCUAACAUGCUCCCUCCGCCGCUGGACUAGGAGAUCUUGAUGAGCUGCUUCUGUAAAUAUGUGCUUGACCAUCAUCUGAACUUUCCCGUCAGAUAGAAAACAGCAUGUAGUAUCCACUGCUGUCAUCUCUGCAAAUUAACAAUUGAUAGGGACAGCAUUCAUUAAGUUUGUAAAGGACUUUCAACUCAGUAGAAUCAAAGUCUUUUUACUAAUCAUGUACAUGAAUGCUUGCUCUAAAUCUUGGAACGUUUUUUUUAUAAACCAGAACUUUAGAGGAGAAGCAAAGAGUUACGAAACCUCCAAUAAAAACAUUCUUAAAAUACCCAUUGAAAAAGUACAACAGGAGAAACAAUAAAAGAAGACAAAGCAAAAGGAGAAGUUAUCGUCAAACAACAAAAGAAGACAAAAUUUUCUAUGCUAGAAAAUCGACGGCAUGGAGAACUAAGGUGGACUGAUUCCAACGAGAUACCAAUAAUCCAUUUCUUGUGACCCUAAGAAAAAUGCAAUGAGAUGAAUCAAACAUGUAGUUAAUAACGACAACUAAAAAUAAUCUUACUUGGCUUAAUGGCCAUUCAUUCAAUUUAAAAAAAAACAGUUUCAAGCAAGAUAAAAAAAUUCCAGAAGUAGCAAAAUGAGUUAUGUAGAAAGAUAAUUUGGACUGAAUAGCAAAAGAAUCUUAAGCUGCGAUGGAAUAAAGAGAAUUUAGAAAAUUCAGAGAAUCCAAGUAUGUAAUUCCUUAUGAAGUCAGAAAACAUAUAAAGCAAUGGAAAUCGAAACUGCCACAGACCAAAAUUGCAAAAUUCCAGAUGAACAGUGAGGGAUGUCACCUGUAAUCUAGACUCGAAAUCUUUUGCUGAUUAGUGCUUUAAUCAACUAUCUUAAAAUGCCACAAUAAGAAAUGCAAACCAAAAUCCAAAAAGACAUGAUAACAAUUUGGAGAUUAUCAAUCAGAUUCAAGAGUUAACCAUGUCUGGUUUGUGGAGACCCAGAACGGAUCUGCCCUAUAUCGAUGAAUAUGGUGCCCGGAUUAUUACCAGAGUUUCCAUUUGGUGUGUGAUUCAAAGGCAAUCGAAGGAACCCGCUAAACCCGGGAAUCAAAG